rnacentral:tRNA from 1 species
GUUAGAUUAACUCAAUGGUAGAGUGUGUACUUUGUAAGUAUAAAGUUAAGAGUUCGAGUCUCUUAUCUAACA